CGUUCCCUAAACGGACCUGUCAGUACAGUCAUAAAGGAGCAACAUGUGUGCGAUGACAGGAAUGAAGGAGGCGUCGGACUCCCCACCUCCACAUCCUUACGGGCAUCUCUCCAGUUUCUGUAGCCUGCAGUUUUACUGCGGAGCUGCACUAGGAAGGCGCACUGCCAAAAGCAACAAGCACAGAUAUGAUCACCAAACAAGAUAAGAUAAAGUGUUUUGUUGCAUCCUGCAGCACCUAUUAUGAAACCGUUUGAAGGAGUUACAGGAUGAUCCAAGAAGACAAUGUAGAGAAGAAUGAGAAGGGAGCGAUCAUCCCUCGCAUGAGGCAAAGGAGGAGAAGAGCAAGUCAAAACCGUAACGCUUUCCUCUUCUCUGUUUGUUCUGUGUCCUGCGAGCUGAGGAGGAGGCUUCCAUAUGGAAGAGCACAGCAUUAGACAUGGUGUCUGAAGGGCAGGGUGCCGUCUUGGAUGGGUGGGCAGUGUGGGUUGUCUGGCCACCUGUAAGACAGAAUCGUCUGCACUGUGUCCGGUGCCACAGAACAGGUGUGAUCCAGACCAAAAAUGUAUGUUGUGACUCCCCAUGCAGAAGCAUGGUUUGUUCUUGUGAAUGUGUAGCAAUUCGUUUAUCCUUUAUGUUCCAUAAAAGCAUUUCUGUCCUGUUCUAUAAUAUCAUCUCUUCCAAUACAUUCUGUUCUGUUAUAUUAUACGUUGCAUUGAUUAGUUUGCCUCAUCAUAUACAUUGUACUGUUUUUCAUGUGCUUAUAAUAAAGGUAUUUGUAUCCAUCCA